UACCUGCAGCUCGAGUGGUGAUCGUUAUUAUUGGGCCUAAAACGUCCGUAGCCGGUCUUAUAAAUGCCUGGGUAAAUCGUAUGGCUUAACCAUACGAAUUCCGGGUAGACUGUUUGACUUGAGACCGGGAGAAGCUAGAGGUACUCCUGGGGUAGAAGUGAAAUUCUGUAAUCCUAGGGGGACCACCAGUGGCGAAGGCGUCUAGCUAGAACGGGUCUGACGGUGAGGGACGAAGCCCUGGGGCGCAAACGGGAUUAGAUACCCCGGUAGUCCAGGGUGUAAACGCUGCUUGCUUGAUGUUAGUCUGGCUCCGAGCCAGAUUAGUGUCGGAGAGAAGUUGUUAAGCAAGCUGCCUGGGAAGUACGGCCGCAAGACUGAAACUUAAGGAAUUGGCGGGGAGCACAGCAACGGGUGGAGCGUGCGGUUU
rnacentral:rRNA from 1 species